rnacentral:rRNA from 1 species
UGAGGAAUAUUGGACAAUGGGCGCAAGCCUGAUCCAGCCAUGCCGCGUGAGUGACGAAGGCCUUAGGGUUGUAAAACUCUUUCGUCGGGGACGAUAAUGACGGUACCCGAAGAAGAAGCUCCGGCUAACUCCGUGCCAGCAGCUGCGGUAAUACGAAGGGGGCUAGCGUUGUUCGGAAUUACUGGGCGUAAAGCGCGCGUAGGCGGUUUUGCAAGCCAGAGGUGAAAUGCCUGAGCUCAACUUAGGAAUUGCCUUUGGGACUGCGAGGCUUUGAGGACGAGAGAGGUGAGUGGCAUUCCCAGUGUAGAGGUGAAAUUCGUAGAUAUUGGGAAGAACACCGGUGGCGAAGGCGGCUCACUGGCUCGUUUCUGACGCUGUAGCGCGAAAGCGUGGGGAUCAAACAGGAUUAGAUACCCCAGUAGUCCCUGAGCGGGCUGGCAAGGCGCAU